GACGAACCGUGCGAACGUUGUUCGGAAUCACUGGGCAUAAAGGGCGCGUAGGCGGCUUAUCAAGUCAGGGGUGAAAUCCGGCAGCUUAACCUGUCGAAGUGCCCUUGAUACUGAUGAGCUCGAGGGAGAUAGGGGUGUGUGGAACUUCCGGUGGAGCGGUGAAUGCGUUGAUAUCGGAAGGAACGCCAGGUGGCGAAAGCGAACCACACUGGAUCUCUUCUGACGCUGAGGCGCGAAAGCCAGGGAGCAAACGGG
rnacentral:rRNA from 1 species